rnacentral:rRNA from 1 species
CAGCAGCCGCGGUAAUACAGAGGGUGCGAGCGUUAAUCGGAUUUACUGGGCGUAAAGCGUGCGUAGGCGGCUUCUUAAGUCGGAUGUGAAAUCCCUGAGCUUAACUUAGGAAUUGCAUUCGAUACUGGGAAGCUAGAGUAUGGGAGAGGAUGGUAGAAUUCCAGGUGUAGCGGUGAAAUGCGUAGAGAUCUGGAGGAAUACCGAUGGCGAAGGCAGCCAUCUGGCCUAAUACUGACGCUGAGGUACGAAAGCAUGGGGAGCAAACAGGAUUAGAUACCCCUGUAGUCCCUGUCUCUUAUCC